GGCAAAGCAUAGGUUAAGUGACUGAAAGUCACAGAGAGAAAAUGUAACCGAGCAAAGUAUUGAAUUUUCAUCUGCAGAUUUCUAUUUCCGUACUUUACAAUUAGAUCAUCUUUUAAAUUCAGUUUCAAAUUGGAAAAGAAAAGAGCUGAGGAGUUUCAAAUGUUUUCUUAUUAUCAAUCAUUCACGUAUUUCUAACCUGAGUAAAUAACAUGUGGAAGACAAUUCAGAUUGGCAGGUAUAUUUUCAGAAACGGAUACAUGAUGUCUAAACUCUGACUAGAAUGAGAAAUACAUCCUUGCUACAAAAAUCCAAUACAGACUUUUACCUUUCAGAGUCAGGUUUUGAUUUCAGGCCAUUCUGAAGGAGGGGUGACAUGAUCUGUCUGUCAGCUUCAAGGUUGCUGAACAUCUACAGUUUUCUAGGCCUGGAAAACCAAAUCAUUGGUCUAUGGAAGACCAAAAACAAAAUCACAAGUCCAGAUAUGGAAAAUGACAUAAUGGUAAUUGGGAGUCUCAUAAUUGUGAAGGAUAUCUCAAAGCAAACUUUUGGAAAGUGGUAAAAAGAGCACGGUGCCAACUUCAAUCAUGAUUAACUGCUAAGCUUCAUCUGUUGCAAAUGUACUAUGAGGUCAUGCAAGUCAGUUCAGAAAUGUCUCCAUCCAC
rnacentral:lncRNA from 1 species